rnacentral:tRNA from 1 species
GCGGUGGUCCUUGCCUUGAUUGGCUAAUCCCCCGGAAUCGCUCGACACCGCACUGAGCCGCCCUCAGCUUCCCAAGCUGAGGGUCGCCAGUUCGAAUCUGGUCGCCCGCU